rnacentral:rRNA from 1 species
UAGAGUAGCAAUACUUUGAUGGCGACCGGCGCACGGGUGAGUAACACGUAUGCAACCUACCUACAUCAGGGGAAUAACCCGGAGAAAUUCGGACUAAUACCGCAUAAUACAGGGAUGCCGCAUGGUAAUAUUUGUUAAAGAUUUAUCGGAUGUAGAUGGGCAUGCGUUCCAUUAGCUAGUUGGUAAGGUAACGGCUUACCAAGGCAACGAUGGAUAGGGGAACUGAGAGGUUUGUCCCCCACACUGGAACUGAGACACGGACCAGACUCCUACGGGAGGCAGCAGUGAGGAAUAUUGGUCAAUGGACGAGAGUCUGAACCAGCCAAAUCGCGUGAAAGGAAGACUGCCCUACGGGUUGUAAACUUCUUUUGUACAGGAAUAAAAGACAUUACGUGUAGUGUAUUGCAUGUACUGUACGAAUAAGCAUCGGCUAACUCCGUGCCAGCCGCCGC